CGCCUCGGCGUCGGCCAUGUUCGUCUGCGCCACCGCCACCACCGCGACGGCGGCGGCGGCGGCGGCGGCGAGGAGGAGGAGGAGGAGAGGCUGCGCCAUGGCGCGCGAAGGGACGGGGAGGCCGGCGUGUGGGCGUGUGGGACGCGCGUGCCUAAGUUU
rnacentral:sRNA from 1 species